rnacentral:rRNA from 1 species
GUGAGGAAUAUUGGUCAAUGGGCGAAAGCCUGACGCAGCCAUGCCGCGUGGAUGAUGAAGGUCUUAGGAUUGUAAAAUCCUUUCACCGGUGAAGAUAAUGACUGUAGCCGGAGAAGAAGCCCCGGCUAACUUCGUGCCAGCAGCCGCGGUAAUACGAAGGGGGCUAGCGUUGCUCGGAUUUACUGGGCGUAAAGGGCGCGUAGGCGGACAUUUAAGUCAGGGGUGAAAUCCCGGGGCUCAACCUCGGAACUGCCUUGGAUACUGGGUGUCUUGAGUAUGAGAGAGGUGUGUGGAACUCCGAGUGUAGAGGUGAAAUUCGUAGAUAUUCGGAAGAACACCAGUGGCGAAGGCGACACACUGGCUCAUUACUGACGCUGAGGCGCGAACGCGUGGGGAGCAAACAGGAUUAGAUACCCGAGUAGUCC